ACUCCUACGGGAGGCAGCAGUGGGGAAUAUUGCACAAUGGGCGCAAGCCUGAUGCAGCAACGCCGCGUGAGGGACGACGGCCUUCGGGUUGUAAACCUCUUUUAGCAGGGAAGAAGCGAAAGUGACGGUACCUGCAGAAAAAGCACCGGCUAACUACGUGCCAGCAGCCGCGGUAAUACGUAGGGUGCAAGCGUUAUCCGGAAUUAUUGGGCGUAAAGAGCUCGUAGGCGGUUUGUCGCGUCUGCUGUGAAAACUGGGGGCUCAACCCCCGCCUGCAGUGGGUAGGCAGACUAGAGUGCGGUAGGGGAGAUUGGAAUUCCUGGUGUAGCGGUGGAAUGCGCAGAUAUCAGGAGGAACACCGAUGGCGAAGGCAGAUCUCUGGGCCGUAACUGACGCUGAGGAGCGAAAGGGUGGGGAGCAAACAGGCUUAGAUACCCUGGUAGUCCACCCCGUAAACGUUGGGAACUAGUUGUGGGGUCCUUCCACGGAUUCGUGACGCAGCUAACGCAUUAAGUUCCCCGCCUGGGGAGUACGGCCGCAAGGCUAAAACUCAAAGGAAUUGACGGGGACCCGCACAAGCGGCGGAGCAUGCGGAUUAAUUCGAUGCAACGCGAAGAACCUUACCAAGGCUUGACAUAUAGAGGAAACGGCUGGAAACAUCGCCCCGCAAGGUCUCUAUACAGGUGGUGCAUGGUUGUCGUCAGCUCGUGUCGUGAGAUGUUGGGUUAAGUCCCGCAACGAGCGCAACCCUCGUUCUAUGUUGCCAGCACGUAAUGGUGGGAACUCAUGGGAUACUGCCGGGGUCAACUCGGA
rnacentral:rRNA from 1 species